rnacentral:lncRNA from 1 species
ACCAGUUCCAAAUACAACUUACCUGUGAGCAGAGAGAGUAUUCGUUAACCCCUUUGAGCUUAAACAGUUGAAUCUCAGCUUGAAAUAAAGCGAGAUUUCAAAAAUCUUUUUUUUUACAACCCGGAAAAUUUUGAUAAUUGUUCUUUUGCCGUAAAAAGUCAAGAGCAUUCACUUAGGGUGAGUAAGAAAUAAGUUGGGGAGAACGAAAAUG